GUCGGUGCCUAUUACGAUGAGGUCCCACCCGUUCCCAUCCCGAACACGGAAGUUAAGCUCAUCAGUGCUGAAAAUACUUGGAGGGCAGCCUCCCGGGAAGAUAGGUCGGUGCCGACA
rnacentral:rRNA from 1 species